GUUUGAUCCUGGCUCAGGAUGAACGCUAGCUACAGGCUUAACACAUGCAAGUCGAGGGGCAGCAUGGUCUUAGCUUGCUAAGACUGAUGGCGACCGGCGCACGGGUGAGUAACACGUAUCCAACCUGCCGUCUACUCUUGGACAGCCUUCUGAAAGGAAGAUUAAUACAAGAUGGCAUCAUGAGUCCGCAUGUUCACAUGAUUAAAGGUAUUCCGGUAGACGAUGGGGAUGCGUUCCAUUAGAUAGUAGGCGGGGUAACGGCCCACCUAGUCUUCGAUGGAUAGGGGUUCUGAGAGGAAGGUCCCCCACAUUGGAACUGAGACACGGUCCAAACUCCUACGGGAGGCAGCAGUGAGGAAUAUUGGUCAAUGGGCGAGAGCCUGAACCAGCCAAGUAGCGUGAAGGAUGACUGCCCUAUGGGUUGUAAACUUCUUUUAUAAAGGAAUAAAGUCGGGUAUGGAUACCCGUUUGCAUGUACUUUAUGAAUAAGGAUCGGCUAACUCCGUGCCAGCAGCCGCGGUAAUACGGAGGAUCCGAGCGUUAUCCGGAUUUAUUGGGUUUAAAGGGAGCGUAGAUGGAUGUUUAAGUCAGUUGUGAAAGUUUGCGGCUCAACCGUAAAAUUGCAGUUGAUACUGGAUAUCUUGAGUGCAGUUGAGGCAGGCGGAAUUCGUGGUGUAGCGGUGAAAUGCUUAGAUAUCACGAAGAACUCCGAUUGCGAAGGCAGCCUGCUAAGCUGCAACUGACAUUGAGGCUCGAAAGUGUGGGUAUCAAACAGGAUUAGAUACCCUGGUAGUCCACACGGUAAACGAUGAAUACUCGCUGUUUGCGAUAUACUGCAAGCGGCCAAGCGAAAGCGUUAAGUAUUCCACCUGGGGAGUACGCCGGCAACGGU
rnacentral:rRNA from 1 species